AGAUUCACCAGAAAUUGACCACGGAAGAAUCCCUAGUUCUUGACCCUUGUUCCUGUUUCUUGGUCUCGUUGGCCGGCCACUGCCCCUGGCUGCUCUUCACCGCAUUUUGUCGCCAUGGGUUGCUAGCCCUUCAACAAGGAGCACCUCCAUGACCACCCAACAACCACCCCCUUCCUCCCUUGUUCGUCCAAAGAAGGAAAAAAGAAGAAUAAGCAAGAAACAAAAAGGAAAAGAAGAAGA
rnacentral:lncRNA from 1 species